AGGCCCGCCCUGGGCUGCACGCCGGCGAGCCCUCCGCUCUGCACCUGCCGGCGCCCCCCUGGAUCUGGACCACACCCACCGAAGCUGAAGGGCUCGGUCCUCUCCUUCCUGGAACCCGAGGACUCUCGCGACCUCUCAGCUCAGAGCGAGCUGCUGCCUCCUGACACUAACCCACAGCACAGGCUGUGCAUCUAAAUACCGUCGGAAGCUGGUGCGUGCGGAAUUCCUCUCUUGUCCAGGCUUCAAUAAACAGUGGCUUCUCUCCUCCACCAGGAUGCCUGCCUGGCUUCUUCAUACGAAUAUGAGAAAAAACCCAACAUCCACAUUUCCCAGCAGCUGCUAGAGGGAUCCCAUUGCCAUAGCCUGCAACCCGGGCAUGUGCCCCGAUCGGGAAUCGAACCGUGACCUCCUGGUUCAUAGGUCGAUGCUCAACCACCAAGCCACGCCCACAGCCCCCGACAUCUACUGGAGUGUGUUCGCAGCCUGCAUGAUUUCUGCUUCUAGGGCACCUAGUCAGUGAGGCCUUUUCUUCA